AUUCUUAACUCAAUUUCACGUUUAAUAACUUGCAUAUCAUAUUACUCAUGCUGUGUAAAUGUAAACUAAACGAAUAAAUAUGAUUGAAGUCGUGAAUACACAAUGUAUACGUGGACCGUGGGUGGAAUUAGUUCAUUGAUUUGGCAAUUAAAGUGUCGUUCAUGGACGUUUAGCAUAAAACACACCCAAACGAACAUUACAAGUUAAAAUACUUAGAUAAUAGGCUUAAUUAAAAUGUUUAAGACAUUAACUAGUCAUUUAUUACAUGUGUAGUAUGUUUACCUUAGUAUAAUAUGAGUUUCUAAUGAAUUUCAAGAUGGCGGUAUACAAAAAUAAGUAAGAAACGUUUGUUUUCAAAUAAAAAUCUCACUGUGAGACAGAUUCGCGUCGAAAUUAAAGCAGAUUAUAAAUAAAUAACAAAAACAACGGGAGAA